CGUAUUUUGCAGGAAACGAGCGAUCUGGCCACCAAAAUCUUAGUUCAAGCGGUUCGCAGAUGCUUCGCACCACACAGAAAUACAAAUUUAAUGGUCACCAGCAGAACCUGCGGGAUGUACCAGCAAAACCGAGUGUAGACUGAAAUAUUGAACAAUUGCAUGUUUUACAUCAAAGAAAUAAAACCGUGCGUGCAGAAUUCAUGUGAAAACACAUCAGCGAGUUCAGUGUGUUUAUCAUGACUUCAUCUCGGGCUGUGUCCAUCUCUCCUUCCUCAUACGGUAAACCUCUUCAACCCGAAAGCGGCCAUGAAAAUUAACAAAAAUAAAAUACUUCAUCAAACUUAAAAAACCUAUGAAUUGAUAUGAUAAAACCGGGGAACGUCGUAACUGAGGCGACCGUGUCGUAAGAUACUUGCGAAAGCAGCGCGCUCCCCGGUGCAGUAUGUCCUCUGGAAUGUGGCGGAGUGUGUGCGUUUGUCCGUGCAGAUCCAGAGCCUGACAUAAUGCAGCUGCCAGGGGAGCAGAGCCUGCAGUGGCCAAAGCCUGCCAGUGCCCUUUUUUUGCUUCUCCUAUGAGGUCUCUUUGUAUAGCUGACACCCACCCACCAUCAUUCUCUGCUGAGACUCACAGCUGCACCUAGCAUGGGCUUGAGAGGAGGAAAGUACCAGAUGCAACCAAUUCAGAAGAACAGGG
rnacentral:lncRNA from 1 species